rnacentral:rRNA from 1 species
AACGAACGCUGGCGGCAUGCCUAACACAUGCAAGUCGAACGAGACCGCCGGGCUUAGUGGCGCACGGCUGCGUAAGGCCGGGGAACCUGCCCGUAGGUUCCGUACAACUCCCCGAGAGGGGUGCUAAUACCGCUUAAUGUCAUAGGACCUAAGAUUUAUCGCCUUUGGGUGGGCGCGCGUUGGAUUCGCCAGUUGGUAGGGUAAAAGCCGACCAAGGCGACGAUCCAUAGCUGGUGUGGGAGGAUGAUAAGCCACGCUGGGACUGCGACACGGCCCAGACUCGUACGGAGGGGAGGAGUAGGGAAUAUUGGACAAUGGGCGAAAGCCUGAUCCAGCCGUGCGGGGUGAGUGAUGAAGGCCUUAGGGUUGUAAAGCUCUUUUACCCGAGGUGAGAAUGACAGUACCGGGUGAAUAAGCUCCGGCUAACUCCGUG